CCUGUUUUUGGUGGUGAUAAGAAGUUUUUGGUUGAUUCAAAGGGUGAGUUAUUGUUGAUUGAUAUGUAUUUGAGCAUUGAAUCUGAGCCAGGUUUGUCUUCUUCUUCUGCCGGUUUCGGGUUCGUCGAGGAGUAUUUUGAAAACCUUGCUGUGUAUAUGAACGAGAGGACGGUUAAGUUUAAGGUUUUUAAGUUGGAUGACGUUGAUAAGCAGUGGGUUGAAGCUAAGGAUUUGGACGAUCGCGUGUUGUUUUUAGGUGAUGGUUGCACCUUUUCUGCUUCAAUAGAAGAUUUAUCCGUGUGUAGAGGGAAUUGCAUAAUCUAUGUGGAUAAUUUCUUUCAUUCGCUCGGGGAAGAAGAUGGGGCGUCGGAGCAUUGUGAUGUAGGCGUAUUCGAUUUGGAAAGCGGUUCUAUAGGACCAUUAACAAAGGUUCCUCAAUCUUCCGAGCUAUUCUGGCCACCACCUCAUUGGAUUUCAUCCACAGCAGCAUCGGAUGUAAGUAUUUUUGUUUUGCAGUGUUGAACUUUGGGUCGAGUUUUUAUUUAUAUAUAGUUCUGUAUACUAUUGCAAUAGCCAUGAAGAUCUUUAAGUAUCAGAAUCCCUAAGUAGAAUCACGUAAAAAACUGGUGAAACUCCCCGGAAAGCUUUUUGAGUCGUGUUUAUGCUUAAUGGUAUAGGCAUGCUAGCUUCAAACUAUGUCUUGAAAUGCCAUGCAUCUAAUGUUAACUUACUGAAAAUGCCAAAGAGAAGUCUAAAUCGAAUGCGGAUCUCUUUCAUAUGCCGGGUUAAGGGGCGUUACAAAUGCUUUCAAAACAAUUGGGAAAAUCCCAUUGCCAAAUUUGAUGUGAAAAUGGCAAUAUCCCUUAUUUUCUUGGUAAAUUACACCAGCAGUCAUCCAACUAUUAAUAUAUUUUUUUGGUUAUUUAAUUAUGAAAAGUUAUGAAAUGAUCACACAAUAAUUAGUAAAUUUCUUUUUCGGUCACCCAACUAUGAUAAGUUACGAAAUGGUAUCCAACUAUUUAAUUUUAUCUUUUUUGUCGCCGGCUGGCUAACUUGACAACUUUUAAAAUUAGCUCAAUAGUAACUUUAACCGUUAAUAUUUAUCUAUUAUGUCAAUUUAGUUUUGAUUCUAAAAAAAAAAACUUAACGCUUAACAUUUACACAUGGUGUAAUUCGAACUUCUUCUUCUUCUUCUCUUCUUUUUUUUUUUUUAAAAUUUUGUGUUUUUUUAUAAUAUUGAGAGUUAAUUUUAAAAGAAAGAAAAAUGAUAAAAGUUAUUAUUUAGAGUUUUUGGGUGUUUUCAUUUUUUUGUUUAUUUUCAAUCAAAUUUAGCUAAUAAAUUAGACUUUUAGCUUUUUAGGUAAAAAGAUUACAAAGAACAAGAAAAUUGCAAAAAAAAAAAAUCUAAAUAUUGAGGGUUAGAUUUUUUAGAAUCAAGACUAAUUUGAAACAAUGUUAAAUGUUAAAGUUGCUAUUAUGCCAAUUUUAAAAGCUACAAAAAAAAUGAUAAAAUUUAAUAAUUAAAUAAUUAUUUUAUAACUUUAUAUAAUUGGGUAAUCAAAAUAAAAUUUAUUAAUAUUUAAGUGGAUAUUAAUUAAUUUAUUUAUUUUUCAGUUCUAUAAACAAACAAUUCGUGGAUGGAAUUUAAUCUCUCUCCACAAAAUCAGAGACGGGUUCUUUCUUUUUUUGGACAAUGGUUACCCAAAAUAGCGAAAAAUUGUCACAUAAAUGUUCUAUAUAAUUAGUGCCUCCACUAAACAGCUCAUCAUUUCAUAUUUAUCUAAAAUUGUGUUAUAGAUAUUUAUAGGGCAUCUUAGAUGGAUUAACGCUUCUUUUGAAAAGGAGUUAUGAUUUUGUAAUAAUCCAAAUUGAUAGUAUGGAAACAGUUCAAGUUAUUAAAGACGAGGCUUGUAAGGACUGGGGCUCAACUUUAAUAAGAAGAAAUCAUCAAUUUUUGCCUAGUAUUAGACAUUGGGACAUUUGUCACAUUUCAAAGGAAAAUAAUGGAGAAGCCGAUGAAAUUGCUAAACUAGUUCAAGAAAGGAGAGAAGGUCUUCAAGUGUUUGAAGUGUCCCCAUUAGAGAGUUAGUUUUAUUUUAUCGUAAUUUUUAGGUUUUGUAUUUUCACUAAAUUUCUUUUAAGAAAAUAGAAAAUAAUAAUUUUUGAAAACCCAAAGUACAAUUUGUGAUUUCAUCCAUAAUGUUUAUUAAUAUCUAUCAAAUUAUUUGUCCUAAUCAUCUGAAAUUUAGGCUUAGUUUGGAUUGGUGAUAUGUUUAACUGUAGUUAGUGUAAAAACAACGGUGGCGGUGACAUUAAAUACUAUAGCGACACUGUAGUGUGAGACAAAAAAUAAAUUAAAAUCACUGCACCUAAUUACCCAUCGAAACCCACCUUAAUUAGUUACAAUCUAAAAUGAAAUAUAUAUUAAUAUACUAAUAUAUUAUAUCGGUGUUUUGUUCAGUUUUAUUACGGUUUAAAUUCAAAUAUAUUUCAAAUUUCAAUCUAUUAUAUUUUAUAUUGAGUUAUUCUAAUUUUAAUUUUAAUUUUAUUAUUUGUAACUUAUACUAAGUUUUUUUUUUAAAAGUAACUGAUACUAUAUUUGUACUCGUAAAUUCUUUCGAAAAUAAAUUAUGAUAAAUUAUAACCGCACAAAUCAUGUUUUAAUAGAGCGCGUUACAAACUGAAAUCCUUUGAAUUUUUUUGAAAAAGUUUACAAGUAGAAUAUAGUAAAUCAAGUAGGACUACUAAAGUUAAAUUGAAUCAAUAUAAAUUAAAAUUAAAAUUCACACAGCUUUAGUAUACAGGACUCAAAAUCUCGACUUUUUACCAACAAUGCCAAACCUCUUAUCUGACAUGUAUUUUAAUUAUUUUUCACAAUCAAUCUAAAACUAUUCCAGAGGCAGAAUUAAAAGGAUUAAUUGAUAUAUGGAUUCCAACAGUGAUUUUAAAGAAAGCCACUCAAAACCAAGAUUUAUUGAUUCCAACAAAAGACUGAUGUUUUUAGCCAAAACUAAAACAUUUCUCAUGCAACAGAGUUUUUAUUGUAGUAGUGGAUGAACAACUGUGAAGAGCCACAGAAUUUUUUUUUUCUAAGGAUAAGCUUCGAUGACGGAUCGAACUGCACGUAUAGGUUUAACGUUGAAUCGUGUAAAACCAGAUUGUCGAAGAACAUAACUCCAUUCCUUUAAGGUCCUCUCUUUCCCUUUAUUUGUAAUAGCCAUCAGCGCCGUGUCUAGCAUCAACCCUACGGCACCUAUCUCGUCGUCUUCUUUAUCUUCUUCAAGAACUGCUUCAACGAUUACAACCUUCCCUUUAUCUUCUGGAAUGGCUUCUCGACAUUUUUUUAGGAUUUUAAUGCAUUCCUCGUCGUCCCAAUCAUGCAAUACACACUGCAAUUUGCAAUGUAUGGAUUAAUCGUAUAAGACCAUAUAAUGAAGGGAAAGAAAGUACUAACCAUGAGAAACGCUGCGUCGGCGUUUGGGAUAGACAUGAACAUGUCUCCUCCUACGUUUUCAAUGCUAUCGGAUGUUGCUGCAACGGCGACGACAUGAGGGAGAUCAAAGUUGAUGCCUCGAAUCCAUGGGAAUGCCUUGACUAAAAGGCUCAAAGCAGUCCUGUUACCACCACCGACAUCGACCAAGCUUUCGACUCCGUCAAACACUUCGGGACAUCCUUCGAUUGUCGCAUGUACCGUCAGUCUAGCAUGGCAACCCAUGGCGUUGUUAAAGAGUUCUCUAAAGUCGGGGUUCGCCUCGGCGUAGCUCCAUAGAUCUUUCCCAUUUGCUACUUCAAAUGGUGAGAUAUUAUUGCCGGUUUCAAGGACUCGAGCACUAAGACUAUGCCAGGUUGCUAAGCAAGCAGGGCCGGACAUGAGCAAUAUGAAAGCAGCCAUGGAUUUUUCUCCACCUUUUAUCAAAAGACGAGACAAUGGCGUCGAUGAGAAGCCUAUAGUGUGUUGGUUGAUGGGUUCCUGUUUGAAUAUUCGGUCGUGGACCAUGAACCUCAUAAUGCGAUGAAGACGCGACGGUUCGCAUCGGAGGGCAGUGGCUAGCUCGGAUAGUGGCAUAGGGCUUCCAUAGUUUUCAAUAACGUCCGCAAUCCCAAGCUCAAUGGCACAUUUAACGACAGUUAUUUUAACAUAUCCUAACACAUAAUUCCAAAUCUUUAUUUCAGCUCUAGCUUCUUCCUUUAUUGUCACUUCCAUAUCUCCCAUCUCAACUUUUUUUUUUUAACUUUUUUAUUUGGGAGCUUUUUGGUAACUCUAUGCCCAAAUCUUGACUAUGAAGCUACGAUUUAUAGAAGCAAAGGUAUUGGUUUGAACUAGGUCACAGUUCUUGAAUUUGAAAAUAUCUUGUCAAAUAUGCUCCUAGCCACAAAACAAUUAUUAGAUUAAUUUGGUAAAAAAAUUACGGUCCAAUUAUUUGAAGUGUACCAAAUAGUAUAUGUAAUUUAGAUUUUGGUUAACUUUUACGGUAAUGUACUUGAAUAGCAAUUUAUGAAUUUAAUCUUUAUAUUUUUUUAUUGAUUAAUUUCUAUCACAUUUUAAAAAAUGAGUUAGAAAAAAUUAGAUUAGUGGAACAAGAAUUGACACACCAUGACUUUUAAUUAAAAUUUUAUAAAAUUAUGAUAAAAAUAAAUUAUUAACUUAAUGGUUGAGAGAAAAAUAUACCAAUCUACAUAAACAAUGUUUGGUUUGUGAUUCUUAAAAUAGUAUAUUUUCCUAACAUGCAUGGAGAUACAUUAUUAGGAAAUAAUUUUAUAUGCAGAUAUUUACCUUUUACUAUUGAUAAAAAUUCUAUUUGGUUAUUAGUAGAAAAAGAUUUUGUGGAAAUACCACUUGAAGAAAAUAAUAAGAUUGUGUAUAAUAAAAAUUUUACACCAAUUAAAUUAGAUUGUUAGAUAAUAAAUAUUUAUAAUUUAUUACUAAUAAUUGUUGAUUAUUUGAGCAGGCCUCAUGGAUAGAGGUAAAAAGCCUCUAAAAAAAAUAGUUGGUGAAUGGACUACUGUUCAUAAUGAUUAUUUGAGCAGGCCUCAUGGAUAGAGGUAAAAAGCAUCUAAAAGAAAUAGUUGGUGAAUGGACUACUGUUUAUUAAAAAAACCAACAAAGGAAAAGUAGCAACAAACUCCAAAAAAAGAUUUGUACUUGCAAAUGUAUCAUCUUAUCCUAACCAAGGAUAUUAUGAACCAUAUCCAAUGGUAAACCAGCCAAUUGGAACAAAUAUUUUAAAUUAUCUAAUGGUAAACCAACCAAUUGGAACUUAUUUUUCAUUGACCCCAAAUCAGGUGUGUCAAUCACCAAUGUCCCAAGAUCGUUAUUUGGUAUCACAAACCAGUUAUGCUGAAGUAAUCAAGGGAAAAGAAAAUUUGUUGAAAAAACAACAAGUUGAAGAAUAUAAAGAAAUUUCUAAAAUCAAAGAUUUUUAUAAUCCUGGUUUAUCACCAAAAUUUUAUGAUUUUAUAAACGAGAUGUGGAAAACCCAUAUUUCAAAUCAAAGAGCCAAUUUCAGAAGAGCUCUUUUGAAAAAACAACUAAGAAAAGUGAAUCUGAGGAUUUACUAUUAAAAUCUAUUUUAUAUAGAGAUUGGGAUGAAUUCCAACUUUUUAUGAUGGAUAUUAAGGAGAUAAAUAAUCUUCUUGAUACAUUUCAAUAUUUUAUUUAUAAAGGGAAAAACACAAUAUUAUAAAUAAGGUAUUUAGAAUCUGUUUAUAUAAUAAAUCUAGACAGAUUUUACCUAUAGAAAUAUUUAAUAAAAUUAUUGGAAUGAUCUGCAACCAGCAGAAUCAAUUUAGAAAUUUUUUUUUUGAAUAUUUUCUCCAAUCUUAUGUUUUUACUAAUUUUAUUGGAAAUAGUAUUCCAACAAUAAAAUUUAGAUUGGAUCACGAACCGUUCAAUAUAACAAGUAUUGAAUGGGGAUUUGUAAGAUAAAUAGUAGUAAAAAAUUUCUCUUUUCUCUUUUAAAAGAUUUUCCAGCAGUAGUAAAAUCUUUAUUACAAACCAUCAUAAACAAUAAUGACUUUUUCUAUUAUUUUUAUAUCCAAAUUAGUACUCUUAUUGGUAUUUCUGAAAAAGAAAGAUUUUUUCAGCCAUAUCAAAUAUGGGGUAUUCACACGAUGCUCGAAAAUCCCCGAUUAUCUGCCCUAAGUGAAGAUGAAGAAUGCUUGACAAAAAUAAUUGACAAGUAUCAAAAUAAUUCAAGCUAUUAUCAAAUCCAAGCUGGGAUUGAUUUAAUGGCUAAAGCCAAAUAUCUUCUCCAACAAAAAGAUUAUCAAUUCAGAACCGAUGGUAGAAGGAUAUUGGCAUACCAUUCCUAUCUUAUUAAAGAAAAGGAUGAUGAAGGUAUUCGAUUGCUAAAAAAGAUAGCAGAUAUGGACAUUGAGGAUUUCCCAUCCAAUAUUAUGCAACAAAUCAGAAGUACUUGGGAAAAUUGUCAUCAAUAUAUAUCUACCAUUCAUGACUAUGGUUGAAGUCAAAAAAGAUGGCAACCUAAAAGAAAGGAAAUCCACAUACCAACAACAAAGUUUGGCAACAUGGAAGACAUCAUGAUGCAAGCAGUAAUGGAACUAACCAUGAAGUAAGCAGUGAUGUGACAAGACAUCCAGAUGCAACCAACAAAGAUUGCAACGUAGAUUGAUGAUGACGCAAACAGUGAUGGAAGCAACCAUUAAUGCUAGUCAAAGGCAUCCAGAAGCAGACAAAAAAGGUCUUCAACAUGGAUCAACCAUCAAAUCAAUGAUGGAACAAAGACUAUGAAACGUGGAAGCAAGCAUAAUCACAGAAGCAAAAAGACAAAUGAGACGUGGAAGCAACCACAUCCAUUGAAGCAGGAAUCCUUAUCAGAAAAUAGAUUGGACUUCUGUUAAUGAAUAUAUAUCAUUUAGAGAUUAAUGAUAUAUGCGGAAGGGAUUUACAAGACUCUAAUAAAAAGAAAGCUUUAAACUAUAAAAGAGAAAAUUAUGUAUUUACUCGAUGCUUUUACAAUUGAUUAGCUAUCUCUAUUUAUAGUUGAAUUCUAUAUAUUCUAUACAAUUGUAUUUUGAAUCCCGAACAGUUAUUCUGAUAAGGAUUUCUGCUUCAAUGGAUGUGGUUGCUUCCACGUCUCAUUUGUCUUUUUGCUUCUGUGGUUAUGCUUGCUUCCACGUUUCAAAGUCUUUGUUUCAUCAUUUAUUUGGUGGUUGAUCCACGUUGCAAGACUUUUUUUGUCUGCUUCUGAAUGCUUUUGACUAACAUUAAUGGUUGCUUCCAUCAUUGCUUGCGUCAUCAUCAAUCCACAUUGCAAUCUUUGUUGGUUGCAUCUAGAUGUCUUGUCAUAUCACUGUUUACUUCAUGGUUAGUUCCAUUACUGCUUGCAUCAUGAUGUCUUCCACGUUGCCAAACUUUGCUGUUAGUAUGUGGAUUUUCUUUCUUUUAGGUUGCCAUCUUUUUUGACUUCAACCUUCUUGCAUAUUUUUGAGAUUCAUUUCUUAAAUCUUGUCUAGAUGUAAGGAAUCCAAUGAAAGUCUUGGUGGUGAAUUCCAAGUCUCCUAUGCAUUUUUGAUAUUUUCUAUAAUAUGAGAUGGAAAUUCUUCUAUCUCCAUGUCAGCUAUCUUUUUUAAGAGCUUCAAAGAUUCCUCAUCUCUAUCCUCCUGGAUAUUUCAAUUGGGAUAUGCCAGUAUCCUUCUUCCAUCUGUCCAUAAUUUAUAUACUUCUUCAUGGAGAAGAUAAAGGGCUUGUGAAAGUAAAUCAAUUCCUGGUUGGAUUUGAUAAUGAUCAAAAUUAUUGUAACAUUUGUCAACGGUUUUUGCCAAAUGUUAUUUGUUUUCACUGACAACAAAUAAUUGGGUAGUUCCAAUAAUCUUUUGAACGACCUAAAUUUGAUAUGGCUUAUAAAAUCUUUCUUUUUCAGCUAUACCAAUUAAACUACUAAUUUCAAUAUGAAAAUAGUAAAAGAAAUCAUCAUUAUUUAUGAUGUUUUGUAAACUUGAUUUUACUAUAGCAAGAAAGUCUUUUAAAAGAUUAAAAGAGAAAUUUUGUACUACAACUUCCUUAGUAAAACCCCAUUCAAUAUUGGUUAUAUCAAAUAGUUCAUAAUCUAAUCUAUAUUUUAAAGUAAGAAAAUUUUCAUCUAAAUAAUUAUUAAAAACAUAUGCUUGUAGAAAAUAUUCUGAAAAAGUUUUUUGAAAUUGAAUUUGCUGUCUGCAAAUUAUUUUAUCUAUUUUUUUUGAAUACUUCUACUGGUAAUAUUUUCCUAGCUUUAUUAUAAAUACAUAUUCUAAAUAUUUUAUUCAUAACAGGAUUAUUUUUUCCUUGAAUAAAAUAUUGAAAGGUAUCAAGAAGAUUAUUUAUCUCCUUAAUAUCCAUUAUAAAGAGUUGGAAUUCAUCCCAAUCUUUAUAUAAAAUAGAUUUUAAUAGUAAAUUCUCAGAUUCACUUUCCUUAGUUAUUUUUUCAACUAAAAAUUGUGAAAAUCUGGAAAGCGCUCUUCUGAAAUUGGCUCUUUGAUUUGAAAUAUGGGUUUUCCAUACCUCGUUUAUAAAAUCAUAAAAUCCUGGUGAUAAAUCAGGAUUAUAAAAAUCUUUGAUUUUAGAAAUUUCUUUUUCUUCUUCAACUUCUUGUUUUUUCAACAAAUUUUCUGUUCCCUUGAUUACUUCAGCAUAAUUGGUUUGUGAUGUCAAAUAAGGAUCUUGGGACAUUGGUGAUUGACACACCAGAUUUGGGGGUCUAUGAAAAAGAAGUUCUAAUUGGUUGGUUUACCAUUGGAUAAUUUAAAACAUUUGUUCCAAUCGGCUGGUUUACCAUUGGAUAUGAUUCAUAAUAUCCUUGGUUAGAUACAUUUGCAGGUACAAAUCCUUUUUUGGAGUUUGUUGUUGCUUUUCCUUUGUUGGGUUUUUUAUGAACAGUAGUCCAUUCACCAACUAUUUCUUUUAGAGGCUUUUUACCUAUAUCCAUGAGGCCUGCUCAAAUAAUCAACAAAUAUUAGUAAUAAAUUAUAAAUAUUUAUUAUCAAACAAUCUAAUUUAAUUGGUGUAAAAUUUUUAUUACACACAAUCUUAUUAUUUUCUUCAAGUGGUAUUUCCACAAAAUCUUUUUCUACUGAUAACCAAAUAGAAUUUUUUUUAUCAAUAGUAAAAUGUAAAUACCUACAUAUAAAAUUAUUUCCUAAUAAUAUAUCUCCCUGCAUGUUAGGAAAACAUACUAUUUUAGGAAUCACAAAUCUAACAUUGUUUUUGUAGAUUGGUAUAUUUUUAACUUUAUAUUUUAUAAUGGUUUUAUUACCAUCUAUUCCCAUUAUUUUUAUGGGUUUUUUCAUUAAUUCUCAUUUUUCUACAGGAAUUGCAUUCUUUCUGCAACUACUAAUUGUAGCUCCAGUGUCUAUCAAAGCAUUUAGAGAAUAUUUUUUAUAUUUUCUAAACUGGAAUGUAAUUUUAAUAUUUAUUCCAACUUUUGAUUUUUUAUCAAUUGUUGAAGUUUGAAUUUCUUCCAUUCUAGUGUUUCUAGAAUUACUACUGGGUUCAGUAGGGAAUAUAGGAAUUUGAACAGUUUUCAUUCCUAUUAGUGUACUAAUAUUAUCCUCUUCUUCUCCAGGUUGAGAACUAGAGGGUAAAACUAAAUUUUCAUUUGUAUUUGUUAUACAAUUAUUUUUAAAAUAUAAUCUAUUACCGGACGACAUAUAUUCUAUAGUACUUAUUGGUUUAGAAGUACUUAUACUACUAAUUUUUUCUAUCAUCCAGUCUUUUGGAAUUGAUAGAUCCUUUAAAUGUAAUAAUUUCGACUGUAUCUCAGUAGUAAACAUAUUUGGUUCAAAGAGUUCUAUAAUUUUAUUAUUAAUCUCUUUUAUUUCUACUUCUGCCGUAUUUGUAUAUUAAUAGAAGUCCAACUGAUUGUUAGAUCUUCUGCUAAAUCAUUGAUCUCAGACUUUUUUGUCUGAAUCCUAAGGCAAAAACACUCUUCUAUUAGAGGAUCGGUAAUGGAUAUAAAGUAAUUUGGUUUAACCUUAAAUCCUAUUACUCCUGUAUAUAAAUUAGACUGAAUACCUCCAAUAAGUGAUUUUAUUGGAUUUUCAAAUCUUUUAUCUAAAAGAACCGCUAUUAUAGGAAUAUCGUGACCUUUCCUAAAUAAGGCUCUAAUAGUGAUCAUGAUUAUACCUAAAUGUAUAUAUCUGAAUUGAGGAUAUUUUUUUUAAUCCUCUUGAUUUUAUCUUUAGUAAAUAGAGGGAUUUCUGUUAAUCCUCCUCUAGUAUCCUUAGCGACUGUGUUACCGCAAAUUUUUUCUAUAUGUCUCUGAGUCCAUAUUUUAAACUUAGAGAUUUUAUAUAUUUCUUCUUUAGAAAUAUGAUUUUUAUUAAUCUUUUCUAUCAUUUCAUCAGAAAAGUCUUUUUCUUCUCCGAUGAAACUACCUAAUUUAAUAUCCUGUUUUUAAGAAUUAGGAAUUUCUUCUAAUUGAUUAUUAGAACUAUUUCCUAUAUUAAACAUAAAUAUAUAUUCUUCGUUAUUAUUAGAGUCUGUUUCUGAUAUUAACUCAUAUAAUAUUUUUUCAGGAUUUAUUUCCUUUUCAAAAUAUAUUUCUAAAUCUUGUUCUUCAAGACUUUUUAUAAUUUUCCUAGUAUUUUUUCCCUUGUUAGGACAAUUAGUAGCUACGUGACCUUCUUCAUCACAUAUGAAACAUUUACAAAUUUGUUUCUUUGGUUUAGAAGUUUUUCUCCUAACAACCUUUUGACUUUUACCAAAAAAGUUUUUAUUACCUGGUUUCCAUUUUCUUAAUUUAUAUUUUUUACAUUUCUUAUUAGUAUUAGGACGUAUUUGUUUACAUCUAAAUUUCCAUUUAUUUUCUAAAAUUUUAGUACAAUAACUAUUACUUAAUUUAUGCUUAACUUGUUUAGCAGCUUUACUUUGCAAACAAUGUAAAGUUAUUCUUUCUCUUGUAAAGUUUAUCCUAUUUCCUAUAGAAUCUAAAUUUUCUAUCAAAAAACCAGAUGUUUUACUAUGCUUAUCUAAAUAAGAUGCACAUUUAUUUAUACAUAUCUCAUCCCAAGGUGGAGGUAGUUUAUGAAAAUAUUGGUUUUUUCAAAAUUCUAUAUUUUCAUUUUUUAACUUUUGAUAUUCAUGAAGAAAUUUUUUAGAAAAUUCUUCUAAAUAUCUAAUAUCACAUAACUUAAUCUUUGAAAGGAUAUAACUGGAUGUACUAUCUUGAUCUUUUUUAUAAAAAUAUCCACAAAAUUUUGUUUUUAGAAUUAAAGUUAAUCCUUUUAAAAGAUCCUUAAGGGUUCCUAUCUAAUUGAUUAAUUGCCCUUUUUGUUCUUUAUCUUUCUCAGGCUCUUCCCAUCGUCUAAGAAAUUGUAGAAAAUCUCCUUGAAAUGUUCCAACAAAGUUUUUUAAGAAUUUUUCUUUUAACUAUGUAUUGUUGUUUACAACAAUAGUCAUUGACUGUGCCCAAUCAUCUAUGGUUUUUUUCAUAGUUUGAAAUAGGAGUAUUAGUUAAAUCUAAGUAUAUUCCUCCCUGGGCCACAAUUCUUUUAUUUAAGUCAUCUAUUCUUGGUUGAACAGGUUGACUAGAUGUUUCUCCUGAGCAUUCAGGUUUUACAUCAUUUGUAGCUAUAUUUUAGGUUUUGUUACCAAAAAUCCUAAUUGUGUCGUUAUCAAUUUCAAAAUCUUUAUUAAAAGUCCUAAGAUAAUCAUUUGUUUGACUAUCUGACUCUAUUUUCCUUUUUCCAUAAGGAUUUGUUGGUUCAGUAUCCAUAGGUUCUGGAAUUUCUAUAUUUUUUUCUUCAGAUAAAGUUUUUUCUUCAUCAGAAUUAUAAGUAGAGACUUUUAUGUCUUCAUCCUGAUCUGUUGAAGUUUUUCUUUAUCAGAUCGAUUUUUAAAUAAUUCUGUGUUUUCAGAAUUACUCGAACUACUACUAUCUGCAGUAUCAUAUUUUAGCAUAUAAUGAUAAUUAAACAAACUAAAUAGAUCUUUAUGUUUUUCAUGAAGCUCUUCUAUUAGCUUUAAAUAUUCUAAUCUUUCUAAUUUAUCAUUACUAUUACUAAAUUUUACUUUCCAAUGCUCUAUUAAUUCUUUAUAACACUGGAAGUCAUAUUUUUGUUGUUUUUCAUAGUUUUUUUCCCUUUUUUAUGACUUUUAUAAUUCUUAUCUGUUUUAGAACUACUAGAUUCUUCUGAAUAAGUGUUUUCUUCCUCAUCAGAUAAAGCUAAAAUCAUAUUAUUAUUACUGUAAUAUAGUAGACCUAAAUCCACAUCAGACUCCAUAUUAUUAUUAAUAACUUAAUCUAAUUUAUUAUUAACAUUAGUUAAUAUUUCUUUAGACUCAUGAUUUAAGUCUAAAUUUUUAAUUUCUCCUAAAUUAUUUACUUUCUCUUCUACCUUACUGACCUUAGUAUACAACCUAGAAAAGUAAAAAGAAGUUAUAUCCACCAGACUAUUUAUACCCUUACUCAGAGAUGAAAUGUUAUUUUUUUUCUAGAGUCUAUAUGCAUAGUAUGAUUACAAGUUUUAUCUUGAAAUUGACACUCAAUUUGCUCCAUAAUAUUUGUCCCUGGUACCUAAAACUGUCUAUUAUCUUAAUCGUUUUCACACAACGCCUAACGUCCUCCCUGGACUCAAAGGCAAUAAGAAGACAGAAUAACAUAUAUAUGGGUUUUGGGUCAAAUAACUGUGAAACAAACAAAAAUGUAAAUCAAAGAUAAAGGAAAAAAUAAUCCUGUCAUGAAUAAAAUGUUUAGAAUAUGUAUUUAUAACAAAGAUAGGAAAUAUUACCAGUAGAAAUAUUCACAAAAAUAGAUGAAGUAAUUUGCGGAAAGCAAAUUCAAUUUCAAAAAGCUUUUUCAGAAUAUUUUCUACAAGUAUAUGUUUUUAAUAAUUAUUUAGAUAAAAAUUUUCCUACUUUAAAAUAUAGAUUAGAUCAUGAACCAUUUGAUAUAACCAAUAUUGAAUGGGUUUUACUAAGGAAGUUGUAAUACAAAAUUUCUCUUUUAAUCUGAAAACCAAAAUUCGAACAAUUUUUUUCUCUGAUCUCCGACAUUGGUUGUUAGAUCGACUUAGAUUUAAGAUAUGUUCUGCUACUCGUCAAUGGGUAUUGAUCCACCAUAUCGAUCGUUGAAUCGUUACUUGGAGCUUGCUGGCAGAACUUAAAAAAAAUUUAACAGCCUAUUGACUUAAAUAAAAACUUUUAAAUAGUUCAGUGACUUAAAUGAAAACUUUCAAAUAGUUCAGUGACCGGAUUGUAACUUUUUUUAGUUAAGUGACCAAAAUGAAAAGCUACCUAUAGUUUAGUGACUAAUAGUGUAGCUUACCCUACUUUAAUUUGGUCAAUUUUAGUACAUUUUUUUUGAAGUUUGAACUUGAGAUUGAAUUGCAAACUAUAGUAGUUAAAUUCAUUAUGUCAAAUUUUGCUAUUGGUUUUGUACUAUGCGUAAGUUUCGGAUUUAGUCUUAAUUCUCCAAUUUGAUCAUUUUAAUCAUUAUACCUUUCUUAUUUUGAAAUUCUAAUCAUGGUUCAUAUGGUAGUUGACAUAACACUACACACGUGAUAAUAUGUUUGUCGUAUAGAAUUUUGGAAAUGUCAAAAUUUAACAAAUGAAAUUUUACAAUUUAAAAAGUACAAAGACUUAAAAUGAUCAAAUUAGAGUACAAAAGCUAAUUUUACAAGUUACAUAUAAUAUAGGGACUAAUAGUGGAUUUUGACCAAAAUUAUGUUUUUAAUAGAAAGGACAACUUUCUGAAUUUAAAAGGUUACAAUGUGAAGUUAGUUCUGUAUUUUGAUAAAAUUUGAGAAUUAGUCUUGUAAUUGAAAAUUUAACAAAUUAAGUCCUCCUACUUUUAUAAUUUGAAAUUCACAAUCUAAUCAUUAACAUUGUUAGUAUUUUUUGUCAAAAUUUGUCAACUUGACAUAUUAGACUACCCUAAUAUGACGUGGUAUAUGAUUGACAAAAAAUAAAUAUAUUAAAUUGAAAAUUUCUAACAUAAAUUACCAACAAUGAUAAUGAUUGGACUUAUAUUUUUAAAUUGGAAAAAAAAAGUAGUAGGAUUGAAAUUUUAACUUUUAAAGUAGAGGGACUAAAUAUCAUAUUCUGCAAAGUACAAGGACUAAUAUCAUAUUUUAACCAAUUAAAAAGUAAAUUUGGCCCAACCCAAAAGCCCAUCUGAUUACGACCCUUUCUACUUCUACCAUUGUACAUAAGGCUAUUUCCACAGUGUUCCUGCUAAUAUUCCAUCACUUUCUCGGGAAAAUCAACGAUGGCAGAUUGGACCCAACUCCCCAAGGAACUACUAGAACUUAUUUCCAAACGCCUAGGAACCCACUAUGACGUCAUCCGUUUCCGUUCCGUUUGCUCCACCUGGCGCUCCGCCGUUACUGCCCCCAACCGCUGCCGCAACCGCUUCGCUCCCCGUUUCCCGCUUCUCCCUAUUUCCUCCCAAUUCUCCCUCUCAAAGCGCUCCGUAUUCCUCCUCGGAUCACCCACAACUAGUACCCAAACAAACGCUUCGAGCCCCUCCUCGUGGGUAAUCAAAAUCGAAGAAGAUCCGAUGAACGGCAGAGUCCAGCUUUUGAACCCUCUCUCAAGGUCUCGUUUCGAUUCUCUCCCUGAUAAUUUCCCCAAACCUUUAAAUUUGUUGGAUUUUAGGGUUCUUGAAUUGGGUGAAGAGUAUGUGCUUCAUUAUUUAACUCAUCACAGUGUGGGCAACUUGUACAUGGAAAAAGUUGUCCUAUCUUGUUUAGAUGAUAAUGUUAACGAUUUCAUUAUACUUACAAUUCAUGUUUCUGGGAAAUUAGCAAUGUUUAAAUCUAGUGUUAAGAAAUGGGCUAUAAUUCAAGACAUGCCAUCUCCUUUUGACGAUGUGAUAUUAUAUAAAGGGAAUUUUUAUGCUGUUGAUAAUACUGGUAGGACUGUGGUUGUGGGAUUGGAUUUCGAGACAAAUUUGAUUUCUAUGCCUGUUUUUGGUGGCGAUAAGAAGUUUUUGGUUGAUUCAAAGGGUGAGUUAUUGUUGGUUGAUAUGUAUUUGAGCAUUGAAUCUGAGCCAGGUUCGUCUUCUUCUUCGGCCGGUUUCGGGUUCGUCGAGGAGUAUUUUGAAAACCUUGCUUUGUAUAUGAACGAGAGGACGGUUAAGUUUAAGGUUUUUAAGUUGGAUGAUGCUGGUAAGCAGUGGGUUGAAGCUAAGGAUUUGGACGAUCGCGUGUUGUUUUUAGGUGAUGGUUGCACCUUUUCUGCUUCAAUAGAAGAUUU
rnacentral:lncRNA from 1 species